AGUUAAGCCGGUCGGCGUGGUAGCCAAGGCUCACAUAGUCGUAGGCCACUAUUGUUAAGCCGGUCAGCGUGGUAGCCAAGGCACACAUAGUCCUAGGCCACUAGCGUUAAGCUAGUCGGUGUGGUAGCCA